rnacentral:rRNA from 1 species
UCUGGCGCAAGCCCGAGUUGUAAUUUGUAGAGGAUGCUUCUGGGCAGCGGCCGGUCUAAGUUCCUUGGAACAGGACGUCAUAGAGGGUGAGAAUCCCGUAUGCGACCGGCUUGCACCCGUCACGUAGCUCCUUCGACGAGUCGAGUUGUUUGGGAAUGCAGCUCUAAAUGGGAGGUAAAUUUCUUCUAAGGCUAAAUACCGGCCAGAGACCGAUAGCGCACAAGUAGAGUGAUCGAAAGAUGAAAAGCACUUUGGAAAGAGAGUUAAAAAGCACGUGAAAUUGUUGAAAGGGAAGCUCACGCAGCCAGACUUGUCGGCGGUGUUCCGCCGGUCUUCUGACCGGUCUAUUCGCCGCCGGCAGGCCAGCAUCACUUGGGAGCGCCGGAUAAAGGCGUGCGGAAUGUAGCCCCUCGGGGCAUUAUAGCCGCGCGCACAAUACGGCGCCUCCCGAGUGAGGUCCGCGCUUCGGCUAGGAUGCUGGCGUAAUGGUUGCUUGAAGCCC